GAAGAAGUGGCCAUCAGAAGAACUGAUGAAAGAGGGGUCAGGUGUCUUUAAGUCUUCUAAGGAAAAGCUAUUUCUUCUUUAUCUGGGAUCUUCAACACUUGACAUAAUCUCUUGAUACAGAUUUAUCCUUCCUCAGUCAUUGGAUAGCAUCAUGGUGUGCAGGCAAUCUCCCUAUUGGGAGAGAGGCUGUUAGGUGGGGAGCCCAGCAUCCUGAGCAACUUUUUCCUCUCUCUGUUGCAUAAUUUUAUAGCAAAGAAAGAUGUUUAGGCUGCUUUUUCGGGUUGUAAUGCAGUGUACAAAAAUAUAAACGUGGAUAGAUUUCGUUUCCAAAAGAGUGAA